GUCCUUUUGAGUUUAAUAUAAGGUCUGACCUGCCCAGUGAUUAAUUUAACGGCCGCGGUAUAUUGACCGUGCAAAGGUAGCAUAAUCAUUAGUCUUUUAAUAGAGGGCUGGAAUGAAAGGUUUAACGAGGAACUGACUGUCUCAUUUUAUUUGUAUUAAAAUUUAAUUUUUUAGUCAAAAAGCUAAAAUGUAAUUGGAAGACGAGAAGACCCUAUAGAUCUUUAUAUAUCUUUUAUUAAUAGUUAUUAUAUUAAUAAUUUUAAUAAAAAAUAUAUUUUGUUGGGGUGACAAAAAUAUAUAAUUAACUUUUUUAUAAUUUAUACAUUGAUUUAUGAAUAUUAGAUCCAUUAUUAUUGAUUAUUAGAUUAAGUUACCUUAGGGAUAACAGCGUAAUCCUUCUCCAGAGUUCAUAUUUACAGAAGGGCUUGCGACCUCGAUGUUGGAUUAAGAUAAUAAUUAGGUGUAGCCGCUUAAUAUAUAGGUCUGUUCGACCUUUAAAUUCUU
rnacentral:rRNA from 1 species